rnacentral:tRNA from 1 species
AGGAACUUAGGUUAAACAAACCAGUAGCCUUCAAAGCCACAAACGAGAGUUAAAACCUCUUAGAUCCUG